rnacentral:rRNA from 1 species
UAGGGAAUAUUAGUAAUGGGCGAAAGCCUGAACUAGCAACACCGCGUGUGCGAAGAAGGCCUUCGGGUUGUAAAGCACUUUUUGAGAGGAUGAGGAAGGACGGUACUCUCAGAAUAAGUCUCGGCUAACUACGUGCCAGCAGCCGCGGUAACACGUAGGAGGCAAACGUUAUCCGGAUUUACUGGGCGUAAAGCGCGUGUAGGUGGUUUGGUAAGUAGAGCGUGAAAGCUCCUGGCUCAACUGGGAGAGGUCGUUCUAAACUGCCGGACUAGAGGAUGGUAGAGGUAGGUGGAACUCGUGGUGUAGCGGUGAAAUGCAUAGAUAUCACGAGGAACGCCGGUAGCGAAGGCAGCUCGCCGGGCCGGUAUUGACGCUGAGGCACGAAAGCGUGGGGAUCGAACA